rnacentral:rRNA from 1 species
AUUGAACGCUGGCGGCAUGCCUUACACAUGCCAGUCGAACGGCAGCGUGAUCUAGCUUGCUAGAUUGAUGGCGAGUGGCGAACGGGUGAGUAAUACAUCGGCACGUGCCCUGUAGUGGGGGAUAACUAGUCGAAAGAUUAGCUAAUACCGCAUACGACCUGAGGGUGAAAGUGGGGGACCGCAAGGCCUCAUGCUAUAGGAGCGGCCGAUGUCUGAUUAGCUAGUUGGUGAGGUAAAGGCUCACCAAGGCGACGAUCAGUAGCUGGUCUGAGAGGACGAGCAGCCACACUGGGACUGAGACACGGCCCAGACUCCUACGGGAGGCAGCAGUGGGGAAUUUUGGACAAUGCGCGAAAGCCUGAUCCAGCAAUGCCGCGUGUGUGAAGAAGGCCUUCGGGUCUUAAAGCACUUUGGUCCGGAAAGAAAUGGCUCUGGUUAAUACCUUGGGUCGAUGACGGUACCGUAAGAAUAAGGACCGGCUAACUACGUG